GAGUUUGAUCCUGGCUCAGGAUGAACGCUAGCGGCAGGCUUAACACAUGCAAGUCGAGGGGUAACAUUGUGCUUGCACAGAUGACGACCGGCGCACGGGUGCGUAACGCGUAUAGAACCUACCUUUUACAGGGGAAUAGCCUUUAGAAAUGAAGAUUAAUGCCCCAUAGUAUUGAGACUUGGCAUCAAGUUUUAAUUAAAGAUUUAUCGGUAAAAGAUGGCUAUGCGUCCUAUUAGUUAGUUGGUAAGGUAACGGCUUACCAAGACAUCGAUAGGUAGGGGUCCUGAGAGGGAGAUCCCCCACACUGGUACUGAGACACGGACCAGACUCCUACGGGAGGCAGCAGUGAGGAAUAUUGGACAAUGGAGGCAACUCUGAUCCAGCCAUGCCGCGUGUAGGAAGAAUGCCCUAUGGGUUGUAAACUACUUUUAUACAGGAAGAAACACUGGUAUGUAUACCAGCUUGACGGUACUGUAAGAAUAAGGACCGGCUAACUCCGUGCCAGCAGCCGCGGUAAUACGGAUGGUCCGAGCGUUAUCC
rnacentral:ncRNA from 1 species